UCCUGGGAUUAUGAAAGUUUUUCUGAUGUGUGCUUGACGCAUUGAACUAAAUAUGGAUUUUUGCCCAAUUUCAUAAACGGCUACUCCUGAUUGUCGUUUUAAUGGAGGCAUCUAGCAUUCUGCCGUUGCAUUGCACUUCUUUAAUUAGAAAAUUCAGUCAUUUGCCCUUCGGCUUCCGCUUUACCGUCCAUCUCCGGGAGAUAUUUCAGACCCAUCGCUUUGAGAUGUUCCAUGAAGGCAUAGAUCGAGGUUCAAGCCCUGGUGGAUAUUAAUUCAAUAAAAAACUGGGAUCUUUCCCAUGGCAAAUUGUACAGAAAUCUCUGUGUCUUAGAAGCUCCCUUGCAUGAAAAGGAUGAGAAAGACCAGAAAAUGUUAGAGUGCACAUUCAAGGGACUAGACGAGGAACUUUGCGACCUGGGAUGGUUCUGCUAAAGCAUUACAUCUCCACAAUUGCCAGGUGAUAAUAGUGAAGACUUACUGAGAACUUGGUCUGGGCCCUGGGUGAUUUUAUGGGCUUUGUUACCGAGAUGGAGCAAAACUUCAUCUAAAAAUUAUGUGUUUCAGUCUGAACUGCAAUCCUGAGACAAGAAAAUACGAAGGUCUACUGCUGUUUGAUGGUUGUAAGUGCCUGGUAUGCCUUUUGACUUUAAUCUACUGGUUAAAAGAGUAAUUCAAGACGCACACACGCUUAUUAGAACAGAAUGCAAAUUAAGCAAUUGUGAAAAAGAAAUUCUCAUGAAGUCUCCUAAUAUGUGUAUUGUGAAUUUUAUACAAUCCGAUGACCGCCGGACCUCAUCUACCUGGACGAGACCGGACCCAAGAGAACAAUGCUGUCCCAAAGCCCAUGAAGUCUUCUUUUAGCGUCUUCGGCAUCUUAAGCCUCAGCCCAGAUAUGCGGGGCAGGCCGGGUCGGUCGCAAGCCCAAGACCAACUCAGAUGCGGGACAGGCUGGGUCGGUCGCAAACCCAAGACGAGUGAGAAAUGAUCCAGUCCAGUGAUGUUACGUGAAGGAAAGCAGCUGGCACAGUCACUUCGCAGCCUUGCCCGCAUGUGCGUCGAGGAAUUAAAUGGCGGUCUGAUGUGGAGAGGGGUCUGACACGUCUGUACGUACGGAGCCGAGUGACAGAGACGGGUAACACUGUAGCAGAGAGACCGUUAGACGUCAUUAGCAGACAAAAGAAAAAGGAUAAGAGAAGAGAACAUCUUCCUCUCCGGCUAAGCUCACACAACCACUAUAAACUCUAUUUUCUGGAUCUCAUAACAUGGCUCCAUCAGGAUCGUGAUCAAAGCACAGGAAGUCUCUGCAAAGGAUUAUGUGUCGUGUCCAUCUCUGUUGGUGACUGCAAAAUUCCUGUAUGAGGAUCAAAGGGAUGUAGACAAAGCAGAGAAAAAUGUAUUAAAAUUACUUAAUUAACCAUUAAAAAUUCUUUUUAUUUUCUUUUAUCUUUAAUUUUAAAUUUAUUUCUUAUUUUUAAUUAAUACCUUCUGGUGGCCGGUUGAACUAGAGGUGGCUCCAAAUCUUUCCUUAA